GAUGAACGCUGGCGGCGUGCCUAAUACAUGCAAGUCGAGCGAACAGAUGAGGAGCUUGCUCCUCUGACGUUAGCGGCGGACGGGUGAGUAACACGUGGAUAACCUACCUAUAAGACUGGGAUAACUUCGGGAAACCGGAGCUAAUACCGGAUAAUAUAUUGAACCGCAUGGUUCAAUAGUGAAAGACGGUUUUGCUGUCACUUAUAGAUGGAUCCGCGCCGCAUUAGCUAGUUGGUAAGGUAACGGCUUACCAAGGCAACGAUGCGUAGCCGACCUGAGAGGGUGAUCGGCCACACUGGAACUGAGACACGGUCCAGACUCCUACGGGAGGCAGCAGUAGGGAAUCUUCCGCAAUGGGCGAAAGCCUGACGGAGCAACGCCGCGUGAGUGAUGAAGGUCUUCGGAUCGUAAAACUCUGUUAUUAGGGAAGAACAAAUGUGUAAGUAACUAUGCACGUCUUGACGGUACCUAAUCAGAAAGCCACGGCUAACUACGG
rnacentral:rRNA from 1 species